UACGUAGGGUGCAAGCGUUGUCCGGAAUUAUUGGGCGUAAAGAGCUCGUAGGCGGUCUGUCGCGUCGGAUGUGAAAAUCCAGGGCUCAACCCUGGACCUGCAUUCGAUACGGGCAGACUAGAGUUCGGUAGGGGAGACUGGAAUUCCUGGUGUAGCGGUGAAAUGCGCAGAUAUCAGGAGGAAUACCGGUGGCGAAGGCGGGUCUCUGGGCCGAAACUGACGCUGAGGAGCGAAAGCGUGGGGAGCAAACAGG
rnacentral:rRNA from 1 species